UAAUACCACUUAAUUUAAAAUUGCCUCUUUUGUUAUCAUAUAACUUUCUUAAUGUUAUACUUGUCUUUCGCCCUUUUAACUAACACAUUUCUUUGUGUUCGACAUAUUCUUUCCACUAAUAAUCACACUCUUAUAAUAAAC